rnacentral:rRNA from 1 species
GAACUGAAGAGUUUGAUCCUGGCUCAGAUUGAACGCUGGCGGGAUGCUUUACACAUGCAAGUCGGACGGCAGCACGGGCUUCGGCCUGGUGGCGAGUGGCGAACGGGUGAGUAAUGUAUCGGAACGUGCCCAGUAGCGGGGGAUAACUACGCGAAAGCGUGGCUAAUACCGCAUACGCCCUACGGGGGAAAGCGGGGGACCUUCGGGCCUCGCACUAUUGGAGCGGCCGAUAUCGGAUUAGCUAGUUGGUGGGGUAACGGCCUACCAAGGCGACGAUCCGUAGCUGGUUUGAGAGGACGACCAGCCACACUGGGACUGAGACACGGCCCAGACUCCUACGGGAGGCAGCAGUGGGGAAUUUUGGACAAUGGGGGCAACCCUGAUCCAGCCAUCCCGCGUGUGCGAUGAAGGCCUUCGGGUUGUAAAGCACUUUUGGCAGGAAAGAAACGGCACGGGCUAAUAUCCUGUGCAACUGACGGUACCUGCAGAAUAAGCACCGGCUAACUACGUGCCAGCAGCCGCGGUAAUACGUAGGGUGCAAGCGUUAAUCGGAAUUACUGGGCGUAAAGCGUGCGCAGGCGGUUCGGAAAGAAAGAUGUGAAAUCCCAGGGCUUAACCUUGGAACUGCAUUUUUAACUACCGGGCUAGAGUGUGUCAGAGGGAGGUGGAAUUCCGCGUGUAGCAGUGAAAUGCGUAGAUAUGCGGAGGAACACCGAUGGCGAAGGCAGCCUCCUGGGAUAACACUGACGCUCAUGCACGAAAGUGUGGGGAGCAAACAGGAUUAGAUACCCUGGUAGUCCACGCCCUAAACGAUGUCAACUAGCUGUUGGGGCCUUCGGGCCUUGGUAGCGCAGCUAACGCGUGAAGUUGACCGCCUGGGGAGUACGGUCGCAAGAUUAAAACUCAAAGGAAUUGACGGGGACCCGCACAAGCGGUGGAUGAUGUGGAUUAAUUCGAUGCAACGCGAAAAACCUUACCUACCCUUGACAUGUCUGGAAUCCCGAAGAGAUUUGGGAGUGCUCGCAAGAGAACCGGAACACAGGUGCUGCAUGGCUGUCGUCAGCUCGUGUCGUGAGAUGUUGGGUUAAGUCCCGCAACGAGCGCAACCCUUGUCAUUAGUUGCUACGAAAGGGCACUCUAAUGAGACUGCCGGUGACAAACCGGAGGAAGGUGGGGAUGACGUCAAGUCCUCAUGGCCCUUAUGGGUAGGGCUUCACACGUCAUACAAUGGUCGGGACAGAGGGUUGCCAACCCGCGAGGGGAGCCAAUCCCAGAAACCCGGUCGUAGUCCGGAUCGCAGUCUGCAACUCGACUGCGUGAAGUCGGAAUCGCUAGUAAUCGCGGAUCAGCAUGUCGCGGUGAAUACGUUCCCGGGUCUUGUACACACCGCCCGUCACACCAUGGGAGUGGGUUUUACCAGAAGUAGUUAGCCUAACCGCAAGGGGGGCGAUUACCACGGUAGGAUUCAUGACUGGGGUGAAGUCGUAACAAGGUAGCCGUAUCGGAAGGUGCGGCUGGAUCACCUCCUUU